rnacentral:rRNA from 1 species
GGGGAAUUUUGGACAAUGGGCGCAAGCCUGCUCCAGCAAUGCCGCGUGCAGGAAGAAGGCCUUCGGGUUGUAAACUGCUUUUGUCAGGGAAGAAAUAUUCUGGGUUAUGACAUCGGGCGGAUGACGGUACCUGAAGAAUAAGCACCGGCUAACUACGGUGCCAGCAGCCGCGGUAAUACGUAGGGUGCGACGUGUAAUCGGAAUUACUGGGCGUAAAGCGCGCGCAGGCGGCUUUGCAAGACAGAGGUGAAAUCCCCGGGCUCAACCUGGGAACUGCCUUUGUGACUGCAAGGCUAGAGUACGGCAGAGGGGGAUGGAAUUCCGCGUGUAGCAGUGAAAUGCGUAGAUAUGCGGAGGAACACCAAUGGCGAAGACAAUCCCCUGGGCCUGUACUGACGCUCAUGCACGAAAGCGUGGGGAGCAAACA